rnacentral:rRNA from 1 species
UGCUUCGACCGCAACCCCAGGUCAGGCGGAACUGCCCGUUGAGUUUAA